rnacentral:rRNA from 1 species
CAACCUACCUAUCAGAGAGGAAUAACCCGGCGAAAGUCGGACUAAUACCGCAUAAAACAGGGGCACCGCAUGGUGAUAUUUGUUAAAGAAAUUCGCUGAUAGAUGGGCAUGCGUUCCAUUAGGUAGUUGGUGAGGUAACGGCUCACCAAGCCGACGAUGGAUAGGGGAACUGAGAGGUUGGUCCCCCCACACUGGUACUGAGACACGGACCAGACUCCUACGGGAGGCAGCAGUGAGGAAUAUUGGUCAAUGGGCGGGAGCCUGAACCAGCCAAGUCGCGUGAAGGAAGAAGGAUCUAUGGUUCGUAAACUUCUUUUGCGAGGGGAAUAAAGUGCAGGACGUGUCCUGUUUUGUAUGUACCCUGAGAAUAAGGAUCGGCUAACUCCGUGCCAGCCGCCGC